UCCGACUUGAGACAUCGAAAGACGAUUGGGAAGUUACCAAAAAGAACCGCCAGAAAAACUUCCUGGACACAAUCUCCCUAAGAAAGAAUGAACUACCUUAAAGUCUCAUGGACGAGUGGUAUGUAAUGGCGUAAAUCAACCCAAAACUGCGACUGCGAUUGUCCACACCAGCCAAUAUUACGUAUACUAAUUGAAUUCACCGUGAAUUGUUCAG